rnacentral:rRNA from 1 species
AUGUGGCUGGUCCUCCUCACCUUGAAGGACGAGGCAGCGGCUGCUCUGAAGCGUUUCCAAGCCAGCACUGAGGGGGAGGCAGGCCACCAGCUGCGCAUGCUGCGCACCGAUCACGGCGGCGAGUUCACGUCCAACGCCCUUGCCGCGCACUUCGCCGACCACGGCAUCCAGCGCCACCUGACGGCGCCCUACACACCACAACAGAAUGGUGUGGUGGAGCGUCGCAACCAGACGGUGGUGUCGAUGGCACGGAGCAUGAUGAAGGCCAAGAACAUGCCAACAUUUUUCUGGGGGGAGGCAGUCGGUGUUCGUGCUAAACCGCAGCUUCACCCGCAGCAUCAACGGCAUGACACCCUUUGA